GAAUGGCUCCUUACAUCAGCAGUCAUCUCCGCGACAGAGUGUGGUCGGCACCAGUCUGCCAUCGGUGCCCAGUUGGACAUCCUCCAAAACCUUGUGGCUAAUACACGUUCGCUCAGGUCGGCCAUGGUACACACUUGGGUUCCAGGCGCUUCCACGCACAAGGCCCCCGAUCAUCAGAGGGGUGUGGUGGUUGAUGGCACCCAGCCGGCACUAAGACCAGCGUCCCUCACCGGACAGUGUGUUGUGGCUGACCCAGGCUGGUCCCUACGGGACGGUUGCGCUGGCAGAGUUUCGGUGGCCCCGUCAUAACGGGCCACAGCCUCGGCUUGGUCGCACGAACUUCUGACCUAUCAGCCUCGACUGUGGUGUCGUGGACCCCAGUGGCCUUGACGGGUAACGGAGAAUCAGGGUUCGAUUCCGGAGAGGGAGCCUGAGAGACGGCUACCACUACCAAGGUGGGCAGCAGGCGCGCAAAUUGCCCAAUGCAAACCAAGUCUGCGAGGCAGCGACGAACUGCAGCAAUUCCACUGGCCUUCUUCGCCAGUGGGACUUGGAAUGGAUGCAAUCCAAAGACAGUGAUGAGUAACAACUGGAGGGCAAGUCUGGUGCCAGCAGCUGCAGUAAUUCCAGCUGCAAGGGCGUAUACUAACAUUGCUGCGGUUAAAGCGCUUGUAGUCUGCCACUGGGUCGCAGGUCUGCCGGGUGGCCGUGCCGUGGUGCGGCGGCGUGCGUGCCGACCGUCCCUCCCCCUCCCGUGUCGUUGCCCCUCGGGGUUGCGGCCGGGUUGGGCGGCUGGGGCGGCCGGAGGCACCCGCCCGCUGCGGUGCGGGCAAAACCCCCGGUGGUAUGCUCCUGCACCCGCCAAGUUUGCUCUCGACGGUGAGAUCCGCUCCUGCCCAAAGGCCCCCUUCACUGGGGGCCCCCAGCGGGUUCGCCCCGAACGCAGGUGUGGACAGUCACAGGCGGACCGGUGCCUCCACUGCCCGCGCCCGGUACCCUUUGCAACCGCCCGUCCACCUCCGGAGCCCACCGUCACAGACACCGUGGAAAACUCAGUGUGCUCAAGGCGUCCACCACUCGGCUGGAUGCCCGUCCAUGGCAUGUCAACGUACCGACCAAGCGCGGCACAGUGGAGUUGUGCUGGCCUUGGCGCCCGCUCUGGGCAAUGUGGUGCGCGCACCUGGCGCCCGCCGUCCGCAGCCAGACCCCCCUGCGGCCCCCCCGGUCCCGCCCGCCGCCCCCUCGCGGGGCUGGUGGGGCGUGGGCCAGGGUGUGGUCACGGGCGGGGCCCCCUGGUGGGCGACGGCCGUCCCGGCAGCGUGCACCGACCGAAUCCGAUGGGACCAGUCAGGGUGAAAGGUACUACGGCGCCAGAGGUGAAAUUCUUAGACCGCCGCAAGACCACCGGCGGCGAAGGCGCUUUGCAAGGCUGUGUUCGUCGAUCAAGAACGAGAGUCCGGGGAGCAAAGAUGAUCAGACACCGUCGUAGUCCGGCACCGUCAACCGUGCCAGCUCGGCCUCGGUGGGGAAAUUCCAUCGACCCCGCCGGGGCCACGCCCCCUCCAGCGAGGAAUCCAAGCCCAUGGGUUCCGGGGGGAGUACCUUCGCAAGGCUGAAACUUAAAGGAAUUGACGGAAUGGCACCACAAGGCGUGGAGUAUGCGGCUUAAUUUGACUCAACGCGGGGAAUGUUACCAGGUCAGGACAUUGCCAGGAUGGACAGACUGAGAGCUCUUUCUUGAUUCGAUGGACGGUGGUGCAUGGCCGCUCCUGAUUGGUGGAGUGAUUUGUCUGGUUGAUUCCGAUAACGAGUGAGACCUCUGCCUCCCACUAGCCUCGGGCUCGCAUUUGGUAGGGUCAAGGACCGCACGGCGGCGGCCGCGUCACGGCGAGGGCCUCGGCCCCCGUCGCCGCGGACACGUGCCCGCGGUCCGCCCGAGAGCCCCGAGUUUUCAAGCUUCUCUGAGGCGCUGUGUACGCCACCAAGUGCACGCAUGCUAGAGCCAACAGCAGGUCUGUGAUGCUCCCAGAUGUCCUGGGCCGCACGCGCACUACACUGACCCGGUGAGGGGGUCAUCAUUCCGCUGGCGAUCCCGUCCAGCCCUGCCCGGAAGUGGGUGGGAAACCCUGCAAGCCCGAGUCGUGCUGGGGAUAGAUGCUUGCAACUGUCUGCCUUGAACGUGGAAUGCCUAGUAGGCGUGAGUCAUCAGCUCACACCGA
rnacentral:rRNA from 1 species